rnacentral:rRNA from 1 species
AGAGUUUGAUCCUGGCUCAGAGUGAACGCUGGCGGCGUGGAUUAGGCAUGCAAGUCGAGCGAUACCGAUUUGUGAACACUCUCCGAGCGUAAGCAAAGAGAGUGGGAGCGUUUUGGUAUAGCGGCAGACUGGUGAGUAAUGCGUAGGUAAUUUACCUCUAAUUCGGGGAUAGCCUUGCGAAAGUAAGGAUAAUACCCGAUGUGUUCCCACCAACAAAAGUUGGAGGGAGUAAAGGCGGUUCGUAAGGAUUGUUGGUUAGAGAUAAGCCUACGUCCUAUCAGCUUGUUGGUAGGGUAAAGGCCUACCAAGGCGAAGACGGGUAGCUGGCCUGAGAGGGUGGUCAGCCACACGGGGACUGAGACACUGCCCCGACUCCUACGGGAGGCUGCAGUCGAGGAUCUUUAGCAAUGGGCGAAAGCCUGACUAUGCGACGCCGCGUGAGGGAUGAAGAUUUUCGGAUUGUAAACCUCUUUCGAUAGAGAAGAAUCCCCCCGUUCUGAAAAGGAUGGGGACUGACGGUAUCUAGAGAAGAAGCCACGGCCAGCUCCGUGCCAGCAGCCGCGGUAAUACGGGGGUGGCGAGCGUUACUCGGAUUUAUUGGGUGUAAAGGGCAGGCAGGUGUUCUGUCAAGUUAGAAGUGAAAUCCUUUGGCUCAACCAAAGAACUGCUUCUAAAACUGAUAGAAUUGAGGCCGAAAGAGGAGAGCGGAAUUCCCGGUGUAAGGGUGAAAUCUGUAGAUAUCGGGAGGAACACCAGUGGCGAAAGCGGCUCUCUGGUUCGGACCUGACACUGAACUGCGAAAGCUAGGGGAGCAAACAGGAUUAGAUACCCUGGUAGUCCUAGCCGUAAACGAUGAGCACUAGGUGUUGGGAGUUAACCUUUCAGCGCCGUAAGAUAACUCGUUAAGUGCUCCACCUGGGGACUACGGCCGCAAGGCUAAAACUCAAAGGAAUUGACGGGGGCCCGCACAAGCGGUGGAACAUGUGGUUCAAUUCGAUGCUACGCGAGGAACCUCACCAGGGUUUGACAUGCAGGAAGUAGGAAACUGAAAGGUGGACGACCUGUCAAAUCAGGAGCCUGCACAGGUGCUGCAUGGCUGUCGUCAGCUCGUGUCGUGAGAUGUUGGGUUAAGUCCCGCAACGAGCGCAACCAUUAUCCUUAGUUGCAACCUUUUAUUUUGCGAAAGCAGAAUAAGAGGGCACUCUAAGGGGACUGCCCGCGAUAAGCGGGAGGAAGGUGAAGAUGACGUCAAGUCAGUACGGCCUUUAUGCCCUGGGCAACACACGUGUUACAAUGCCCACUACAAAGCGUUGCCAAACCGCGAGGUGGAGCUAAUCGCAAAAAAGUGGGCUCAGUUCGGAUUGGAGUCUGCAAUUCGACUCCAUGAAGCCGGAAUCGCUAGUAAUGGCGGAUCAGAACGCCGCCGUGAAUACGUUCCCGGGCCUUGUACACACCGCCCGUCAAGCGAUGGGAGCUGGUGGUACCUGAAAUCUCCGAGUAAUCGGGGCCUAGGGUAAAACUGGUGACUGGCGCUAAGUCGUAACAAGGUA